rnacentral:rRNA from 1 species
AUUGAACGCUGGCGGCAUGCCUUACACAUGCAAGUCGAACGGCAGCAUGAUCUAGCUUGCUAGAUUGAUGGCGAGUGGCGAACGGGUGAGUAAUACAUCGGAACGUGCCCUGUAGUGGGGGAUAACUAGUCGAAAGAUUAGCUAAUACCGCAUACGACCUGAGGGUGAAAGUGGGGGACCGCAAGGCCUCAUGCUAUAGGAGCGGCCGAUGACUGAUUAGCUAGUUGGUGAGGUAAAGGCUCACCAAGGCGACGAUCAGUAGCUGGUCUGAGAGGACGAUCAGCCACACUGGGACUGAGACACGGCCCAGACUCCUACGGGAGGCAGCAGUGGGGAAUUUUGGACAAUGGGCGAAAGCCUGAUCCAGCAAUGCCGCGUGUGUGAAGAAGGCCUUCGGGUUGUAAAGCACUUUUGUCCGGAAAGAAAUGGCUCUGGUUAAUACCUGGGGUCGAUGACGGUACCGGAAGAAUAAGGACCGGCUAACUACGUG